UCUGCACUGAACUCAUACAACUAAGCACAAAUAUCAGACUGUGUCUUCUAAAUAAUCUGCAGCAGGACCUCUGGCCACUGAAUAUUAGUGCUGUACAGGUAUGCGAAGAAAAACAAAGGCGGACAGCAGUUGGGCUCCAGCAGGCUGGCCCCGCCCCUCUCAGGCUGGCCCCGCCCCCUCUCAGCCCGACCGUUGCUGGGGCAGGUACAGAGAAAACCAGGAAGCACUGGUUGUAGUCUGUGAGCCGAAGGUAAAAAAGCCUCUGUCCUGUUUCAGAGGCUUUUUGCAAAGGAAUAAAUGAUGUUCCUGCAUAGAUAAUAUGGAGGGUACGGAGUGUUUCUUCAUUCUUAAAUACUACCCAACAUCAUUUGUAUCAGUAUCGCUUUAAGUUCACUUUUAUGUAUUUACUAAGAUAUAUCAAACCAAAGUAUAAUCACGUGAUUAAGUAUUCUUGGUUUAUACGUACAAGUAUAAAAAGAGGUUAAAUGUUUAUUGUCUAUAUUUGUAAUUAUAUUCAAGUAUACUUGACUUAAUCUGACAAGUAUACAGAAAAGUAUAAAUGUGUUAAAUGAAUGAGUUAUGUUUUAAAUGAAUGUGUGAAUGUGUAAGCCAGGAAUACUAUCAUAGCAAAUCCAUAAUGCAUGCAUGCAUAGCUUAAGUGAACCUGAGUUUGCACAAAGUCAAAGAUUUUGUACAUAAUUGGUGCGUGCAUUUUUAAAGUGUACUAAUAGUACCUACAGUAUCUAGAGGUUGGUUAGCUCAUGUGGUCAGACCAGUGUGUUGAUAAUGUUCAAUCCCAAUGUCCGUUCAGGUCUAUAACUGUGCAAGAAGAAUUAGGUGCCUCAUUAGGAGAGCACGGCUUGGGAAGCAGAAAAUUCCAGGUUAAAACAGAUACUUGCUCCCCCUGCUACACUAUAAACUACAGGUGUACUAAUAGUAGCCUGUAUUAAGUACACUAAUAGUUUAGUUGUUUAGUACAGUUAGUAGUCAAGAAGUACAUAAUUAGUACAUGCUAAAUAACGUUUAUUUAGAGUGAAUUUUAAUGCAGUAAAUAGUAGUAGUAAACGUGACUAAUUCUAUGCCUAAAGUUUACUAAUCAUACAUUUACAUUUAAAAUAUAAUUCAAGUGAACUUUUAAGGACUGAAAAGUGGGCAAACUUAGUCCCAAGAAGUAUUAAAAGAGUAAAAUUGUGGGGAUACAGAUUUACAUACAGUAAGUAUACUUAAUCUGUAACUAGCUAACAACAUUUGCAUCUCUGUCCAUCUUCAAUCCUUCUAAGUAGAGAUUUGAUAAGCAAAUCAGCAGAGACACAAUGUGGAAUGAAAUGCAGGUCAAGGACGCAGCAAACGUGUUUAUGUAUCUGAGGGGGAAACUACUGCAUCAGAUGUCACACAGUAAAAUACACUGUACAUGGUUACAGCCUGUCUAUUAGAGCCCACACAUUCAGUGCGUUGAACAGCAUCUGUAACAAGUCAGAACCUGAUGUGUAGAAUGACACUUGCUGAAACCUUCUCUGUGCAGGAAGCCAUGAAGACCCUACAACUUUACUAGAUUCUUUACCUGCCUUUACUCAGAAACAUCUUCUUUUAGUUAACUGAUUUGCUGCUGCCAUUGGAUGAUAAGGAUGCCAAAGUGUUACACACUGUUCAAUAAAGGUGAUCACCCAGUGUGAAUGGGUGGCUGCUCCUGAGAUCUUGUCUCACUCUAAUUCUGCAUUUUAAUGUUUGGAAACUUAAUCAAAACACUUUGAUUAAUUCCUGCAUUAGGAGAGUUAUCCUUAAUAGAAUUACAGAGGUGCUGGAGCAAGAGAGAAAUAACAAUGGCAACAUGCAGCAACACAUCUAGACUCUACUGCAAUAGAGUCAGUUUCUGUUGUACCUGUAUUAGUGAAAACCAUGCUAUCCUCAGGUACUUUAGGCUGUUUGUCUGAUCAUUACUGAUGGAAUAGUAUACAAUUUUCACAGCUCCACAUUGAUAGUGAAUGCUAGCAGAUAGAUAUUGAGAGAAGCCUAUAAAGUCCUGACCUGGGGCUUUAAACUUGUCAAUUUUAAACUUUAAGUCCUGACUCCCAAAGACACACAAAUUGUACUUAAAAUAUGUCUAUUUAUGUCAUAUCACAUUAAUUUGUUGUUCCCACAUUUUUAAGAUACAGUAUAUUUCAGGAAUAACAUUUUUGAAACACAUAAAAAUACUAAAUUCUGUUUAUCUUUAUUAUGAGUGUGAGUGGAGGAAAUCUUGAUGUCCAAACAUCUGUGUUGGAGGAGACAUUUGUCAUCAAGGAGUGUCUGUGUGACGGAUCUUACAUUUGUUUAAGCAGGGUGACUCAGAGCUUAAAGUGGCAAAUCUGGAUGUUGACUGGGGACAAACGUUUUCAUAAAGUCACUAGUUAUAACAGUAGAUCAGCCUAAAGACAAUACGUAUAGUUUAAUGUCAGCAUCUGCCAGAGCAGCAUGAAGACCAGCGGGCUGUUAUUUGGUGUCCUGUGUCUCUCAGGGUGUCUCAUUUUCUCUACAUGCUUCAUCCAUAAGUAUCACUUCAUCAACAUCAACUCAACUUGGAAUCAAGCUCAGACCUACUGCAGAACCAAUUACAUAGACCUGGCCACGAUUAACAACAUUACAGAAGUAAAUCAGUUUAUCAGCACAGUUUCGUCUGCUGGUUACAAUUCUAAGGCUUGGAUUGGACUUUAUAUCAAGCUUUAUGGUAAUUGGACAUAUGCAUACUCAGCUCAAUAUUUACACUGGAGGACGCCACAAGGAAGCACGAUAUUCAUACAGGAGACCUGGUGUGGGUACAUCAGUUCAAAUACAUUGUGGUAUGCAAACUGCACAGCAGAGCAUCCAUUUAUGAUAAUGGUAAGGACAGGAUUUUUGAACUCAAUAUAGAGCCACUCUUUCAUGUUAUAUCUGUUUGUUAUUUUACAAAGUUCCAACAGUGUGAAGUGAAAGGUUUUGAUUAACUUAACAUUAUUUUCACACUAACUGCAGGGACCCAGAAGACUUUAGUUAAUGUACCAAUGGAUUAUUUGAACGCUUGGAGCUACUGUAAAGGAAACCUUACAGACCUAACGUCACCAUUUGCCUCAUCAGUUAAUGUAUGGCUCACUAAUGUAAUGGCUUUGGUCCCAAGUGGACAACAAGUGUGGUUCGGGUGGAUUGGCUUUAAACAUAUCUUCUGGUCCGAUUUAAGCCCUGUCUCGUUCAAUUACUGGAACGAGUUGCCACAAUUAUUUGAUAACAUGGCUGUGCUGCGAGGUGCUGCAGAUUUGCAGAGCUCUGGAAUAUGGAGCUUUCUGCCUACUAAGUUGCUACCAUUUGUCUGCUACACGGAGCAAGUUCCAGAGGACACUAUAAAAGUGCUUAAGCUGAGGGUAAGCUCCUCUACAGAUGUCAAUGACUUUGCUGUGGAAGCAAACAUUCUGUCACAGCUCCAGAUGAAAUUUAUGAAACAAGGACUGAGUGGAGGUUCCCUGAAGUGGAGAAAACAGCCUGAUGGGAAAAUCUUCCUAAAGAAGGGAAACAGUGGCAUCUCAUACAAACAUGAAUGUCAGGUUAACUGUUAACAUAUCAUAGACCUAUUUGUAGAUAUCAUGUACGUUAGUGAAAGUGCAUUUUUCUUCAGACAGAACUGAAAAAUACGACUUUUUUGUUAUUCGUAAGCAUUGCAUCAGUAAAACUAACACUAAUAAAAUACCUCAAAUCACAGCACAGUGUCCCCUACAUUAUGGCACUAUAUGAAGUUGAAAAGACUUUGUGAUUGCAGAGAUAAAUUCAUUUGACUGUAGCUAUGCCAUUUUCCAGAAAACCCUCAGAAAAAAGUCAUGGGGCUGAAAAGGCUAGCAGAGCUAUUGUUUCACUUGGUUUUUUUUUAUUAUUCAUCCUUCAUCAUCUAUCUAUUUAGUUGUAUGAAAAACUCUUGGUACUAUGGUACUUCACUAUGCUGAAGACAUGUUGUAUUUGGUCGUAUUCACUUUUUAAUUAGCAAAAGCAGCU